AGACGUCUACAUUAGAUACCCCUGUAGUCCCAGCCGUAAACUAUGCGCGUUAGGUGUAUCGGUGACCACGAGUUACCGAGGUGCCGAAGGGAAACCGUGAAACGUGCCGCCUGGGAAGUACGGUCGCAAGGCUGAAACUUAAAGGAAUUGGCGGGGAGCACCACAACGGGUGGAGCCUGCGGUCUAAUUGGACUCAACGCCGGGAAGCUCACCGGAUAAGACAGCGGAAUGAUUGCCGGGCUGAAGACUCUGCAUGACUAGCUG
rnacentral:rRNA from 1 species